rnacentral:rRNA from 1 species
UACGUAGGGGGCUAGCGUUGUCCGGAAUCAUUGGGCGUAAAGCGCACGUAGGCGGUUCGUUAUGUCGGAUGUGAAAGCCCUUGGCUUAACCGAGGAAGUGCAUCCGAAACUGGCGAGCUAGAGUACUAAAGAGGAUCGCGGAAUUCCCGGUGUAGAGGUGAAAUUCGUAGAUAUCGGGAGGAACACCGGUGGCGAAGGCGGCGAUCUGGGGUAGAUACUGACGCUGAGGUGCGAAAGCGUGGGGAGCAAACAGG